UCCAGGCCCUACGGGGCGCACCAGGCGGGAAACCUCCGCAAUGCGGUAACCCGUGACGGGGUCACCCCGAGUGCUCCCCUUAUGGGGAGCUUUUCCCCGCUGCAGGAGGCGGGGGUAAUAAGUGGGGGGCAAGACUGGUGUCAG
rnacentral:rRNA from 1 species